AAAGAAUAUAACAGGUUCGUCUGGAAAGAAAUCGACGUGUCAAAUAAAUACAAAAAAUUUCUUAUCUUUUAUUUUUCCUUUCUUUUUUUGUUCAGGUCGAUCAACGAUCCCCUCUAUAAACAUUUGUUAUUAAUAUUAAUCUAAAAUGUUCUAAUUUACCUUUCGCUCGUUCGCAGAAUAUAGAAAAGAAAAAAGAAAGGAAAGAAAAAAAAAGAAAGGGAAAAAAACCGGUCAACGUCCGUCUUUCGAAGCUACGAGAUUGGACUCAUGGAAAAUUGUCGCAGAACAGGAAGAGGAUAACUCGCUACGGAACCGGAAGUUGUCGCCGGCCUCGUUACUGGGAAACUUGAAAAAUACUGUAGAUCAUGAGUUCCCUGGGAACCACGGAUCCGACCUACGCGCCUUCACACGCGCGCUCGUGCGUGCGUGACACGCGAACGGCCAUGACUAGCCCCGAGAAAGACCCGAUUUCUAGCCACCAGACACGGACUUGAUCGACAUCCAGAAUCGUAGGCGUUAUUGGACGUCAUCGAGUGCCACGUGUCCUUGAGGAAUUGGAAGAUUCUUUUAAGGAAGAUUCGACGCAUUAUUAUAUGAGUACUGUUAAUCUCUCGCCUUUCUCUCUCUCUCUCUCUCUCUCUCUCUCUCUCUCUUCUUUGAAAAUAUUCAAAUGUGAUACUGAAUACGUCAUCGAUACUGUCCCACGCCGAUCACAUAUCCGAACAAGAUGGAAAUGAGAGAAGAUUCUUCCUUGCAUCUUCCGUCUCGUUUGACGAGCACGAAGAUACACACCGAUAUUCGAGGACUUAAGCGAUGUUUACUCGUCGGACUACUUCUGUCCAUUCGCUACUACGAGAAUGUCUCCUACUACGAACGCUCAUACCACCUUCGGAACCCAUUAAUCUUUAACAACCCGCUACGAUGUUCGUCGUAAAGUAUAAAUAUUGUGGAGAUAAAUGAGAAGCCGACUUUAUCCCGCCGAACAUUUUUACCGUUAUUAAAGAGAGAAUGAAAAAAGACGCAGACGCAGACGCAGACUCAGACGUACGCACGAGCGCACGUGCACAGAAGACAAAAAAAAAAACGAAUAAGCAUAAAAAAUAAAAAAAUAAAAAUUACGAGUCUCUCGAAAAAAUACCGAUUGUACGGCUCGCUUCGUCUCGUGGCACGCGAUAUUAAUGAAACUUGAAUUUUAAAAAAUGGUAACACAGAAGAGUGAAAACGGUUCGACUCGAAGGAUGUCAUCCACACUUUCUCGACGGACGUCAUCGUCGAACAAGUAGCCAAAAAUAAUUUUAACCGGAACAAAGGGGCUUCUGGUCAGUAAGAAGAACAGGAAUAAGAACAAGAACGAGAAAAAGAAGAAGAAGAAGAAGAAGAAGAAGAAGAAGAAGAGUAGAAAUUAUCUCUGAUAAUCCUGGGAACAAUAUGGUCUACCAACGAGCAAUCUUAAAACGAUCUUUUAACAUUAGAAGAAGAAGAAGAAAAGAAGGGUCGAGAAAGAGGCAAAGGUGAAUGAGAAUAUAUGCACUCGCAUAAAGCUGGGAAACAUAAUAGGAGUCAGUUGUCUUGGCAUAGAAUGAAUCUGCAAAAAUGAUUCUGGGAAACUAUUAUUUUCAGUUCGGUUACGCUAAUAAUCCCCGACAGAAAAGAGCAUAAACGAUUAGAACGAUACAACACGAAACAUCAUUUUCCAGGGUCAUUUCUGGAAGAUCCAUGAUACGAACAAAUUUUCGAUCAAGAGAAGAAAUUUUAUCAUACGUUCGUGAUGUUCAAUAAACUCAAUAUCAACCGA